UGCAUAUGAUGUUUUUUCUCACGAUGGUCUUCCAAGUCUUUGGGGCUCUGACGACAUCGCCUAAUGGCAUUACUGAUGCAGUUUU
ensembl:snoRNA Small nucleolar RNA SNORD35